UAUGAACAAGUGUCCUCGUCGACACCAAGAAUCUCAUGACUGUGGAUAUUAUGUGUGCGGAUAUAUGCUCGAGACUGUAGAGAAAAGGCGACAAGCAAUUCCUGAUAAGUACUUUGGCGGAGUUACAACUGAAUUUUCUCAAAAUAAGCUUGAUGAGCUAGAGACUUGUGGAUCAAAUAUGUGGAUGAAUAUAAACAAGUGGAUGAAGAAGAAUUGGAAGAUAAUUUAGGAUGUGUGUAUUUUCUUUUUGAGCGGGAUUAGGGAUGUGCUUCUAUUUUUGUGUACAUGAAUUGGAAGAAACAAGCCUAGGUGUUCUAUUAUUUUUUCAUAACUUAGUUGAAUUUUUGGAAUCUUUUAAGCAUUAUAUGUGAUUUUGUAGUGAAUGAUAUUAAAUGAAUGAAAAAGUAUUCCAAUUUUAAA